rnacentral:sRNA from 1 species
AUAUUUUAUAUAUUAUUACUGGAACCGGCACUAUACGGCACUAAUACGCAAAAAACAAUCGAAAUUAACGCAAAACAAAUUUAUAACGUUAAAUAAAUAUUUAAUUAUAAACAAAACCACGGUAAAACAAAAUAUUUUAUUAAAUGGAAAAAUUAUGGGUAUAAAAAAAACAUUUGGGAAUUUUUUAACUAUUUUUAAAAUUGCCAGAAACCGUUCCGCUAAUAUUAUUAAAAAUUGGAUUUGCGAAUAAAUUACCAAAAAAAACAACCUAAAAAAAUACCACCAAUUAUUUUUAAGAAUUAAAUUUACAAAAACCCAGUUUUGCAAAUUAAUAUCCAAUACCGAAAACCAAUUAACAAUAUCGACGUAAUUUAAAAAACGCAAUUCCGGGACCAAACCUAAUUCGAAAAGAUUGUCGAAAAACAAUUCGUCGACCCCCAAAUAAUCCUUUUUAUAAUAUUUUUUACCGAUAAUUUAAUAUUUAAACGGAUAAUUUCGGCCUCGCUGCGAAAUUAAAAAAGGCGUUUUUAUUUGCGUAAUUAUAAUAACCGGUUAAAUUUUUCGAACGAUUUUCGUUGCAAACGCGCAAUUUUUUAUUACACGCGGAAAAUAUUAUUUUUAAUUUUAAAUUUUUGCAAUUUAAAUUUUUUUUUUAAUUUAAUCGACCCAUUGAAAAAACAAAUUAAAUUGUAAAACAAAUUUUAUAUAUAAAAAAAAAAUAUUUAUAAUUGGUUAUAAAAACGGAAAUAGCGUCGCAUUUCCAAUUACGACAAAUAUAUUUAUUAUAUCGAAAAUUUGAUAAAAUUAUACGAUAUAAAU